rnacentral:rRNA from 1 species
GGAAGGUCCGGGCGUUAUCCGGAUUUAUUGGGUUUAAAGGGAGCGUAGGCCGGAGAUUAAGCGUGUUGUGAAAUGUAGACGCUCAACGUCUGCACUGCAGCGCGAACUGGUUUCCUUAAGUACGCACAAAGUGGGCGGAAUUCGUGGUGUAGCGGUGAAAUGCUUAGAUAUCACGAAGAACUCCGAUUGCGAAGGCAGCUCACUAAGCCGUAACUGACGUUCAUGCUCGAAAGUGUGGGUAUCAAACAGGAUUAGAUACCCUGGUAGUCCACACGGUAAACGAUGGAUACUCGCUGUUGGCGAUAUACGGUCAGCGGCUUAGCGAAAGCGUUAAGCAUCCCACCUGGGGAGU